GGAGUCCCGGAGAGGGGCCUGCUGGCUGAUUGUGGCCUGAAGCUGGGAGGUGGUGGCCCUCGCUGUGGGUUGUGUGGCAGGUAGAACAAUAAGAGUCAUACAACUCAAUAUAGUCCGUACGUGCCAGGAACUGUUCUAAGCGCUUUGGCUCUGUCGAUUGACUUAAAACCCACGAACAGGCUGGAAUCCAGACGCAGGAGGUCAUUUUGUCUAAGAUCACACAGCUUCGCUAAGAAGUAGAGUCCAAACAAGACUGUCCCAGAGUUCUUUUAAUCACGUUACCUUUAAAAUGGUGAAAUGCAUGCUUAGCCAAGGAAAAAGGAUCUGGCCUUUUGUCCUGGCACCUCCUUUACUGAAUACCUUUCUGCUAGUCAUGCUGGCCCAGAUGAUCUCUGAAUGCUGACAACCACCCCGCUAUGGUUAACCCGCGUUCAUCGACUCAGCGUUUACGUGCUGGGACACAAAACGUGCCUGCGUGUGCGCGGAUGCACGAGGACUGCAAGAUCCGUGAAGGCGGUGACUGGAUCUCCCUUGGUCACAGUUACAUCCCCAGCACCUGGACCACAAGUCCGGACAUAAACCGGCUGAGGCUGACGCGGCCCCCCACUGUCCCAGGGGAGGAAACCGAGGCCCACAGAACCCGGAGAACGUGGAUUCGAGGCAGG